UGAUCCAGCCAUGCCGCGUGUGUGAAGAAGGCCCUCGGGUUGUAAAGCACUUUCAGCGAGGAAGAACGCCUAGCGGUUAAUACCCGCUAGGAAAGACAUCACUCGCAGAAGAAGCACCGGCUAACUCCGUGCCAGCAGCCGCGGUAAUACGGAGGGUGCAAGCGUUAAUCGGAAUUACUGGGCGUAAAGCGCGCGUAGGUGGCUUGAUAAGCCGGUUGUGAAAGCCCCGGGCUCAACCUGGGAACGGCAUCCGGAACUGUCAAGCUAGAGUGCAGGAGAGGAAGGUAGAAUUCCCGGUGUAGCGGUGAAAUGCGUAGAGAUCGGGAGGAAUACCAGUGGCGAAGGCGGCCUUCUGGACUGACACUGACACUGAGGUGCGAAAGCGUGGGUAGCAAACAGGAUUAGAUACCCUGGUAGUCCACGCCGUAAACGAUGUCGACCAGCCGUUGGGUGCCUAGCGCACUUUGUGGCGAAGUUAACGCGAUAAGUCGACCGCCUGGGGAGUACGGCCGCAAGGUUAAAACUCAAAUG
rnacentral:rRNA from 1 species